UACGUAGGGUGCAAGCGUUGUCCGGAAUUAUUGGGCGUAAAGAGCUCGUAGGCGGUUUGUCGCGUCGAAUGUGAAAACCCGGGACUCAACUCCGGGCCUGCAUUCGAUACGGGCAGACUAGAGUUCGGUAGGGGAGACUGGAAUUCCUGGUGUAGCGGUGAAAUGCGCAGAUAUCAGGAGGAACACCGGUGGCGAAGGCGGGUCUCUGGGCCGAUACUGACGCUGAGGAGCGAAAGCGUGGGGAGCGAACAGG
rnacentral:rRNA from 1 species